UACCGGCAGCUCGAGUGGUCGUCGCUUUUAUUGGGCCUAAAACGUCCGUAGCCUGCUCUGUAAGUUUUCGGUUAAAUCUAUAUGCUCAACGUAUAGGCCGCCGAAAAUACUGCAGUGCUAGGAAGUGGGAGAGGUAGACGGUACUUGGUAGGAAGGGGUAAAAUCCUUUGAUCUAUCGAUGACCACCUGUGGCGAAGGCGGUCUACCAGAACACGUUCGACGGUGAGGGAUGAAAGCUGGGGGAGCAAACCGG
rnacentral:rRNA from 1 species